rnacentral:rRNA from 1 species
UGGGGAAUAUUGCGCAAUGGCCGCAAGGCUGACGCAGCGACGCCGCGUGUGGGAUGACGGCCUUCGGGUUGUAAACCACUGUCGGGAGGGACGAAUACCAGGCGGCGAAUAGCCGACCUGGGGUGACGGUACCUCCAAAGGAAGCACCGGCUAACUCCGUGCCAGCAGCCGCGGUAAUACGGAGGGUGCGAGCGUUGUCCGGAAUCACUGGGCGUAAAGGGCGCGUAGGCGGCUCGUUAAGUGGCUGGUGAAAUCCCGGGGCUCAACUCCGGGGCUGCCGGUCAGACUGGCGGGCUGGAGCACGGUAGAGGCGGAUGGAAUUCCCGGUGUAGCGGUGGAAUGCGUAGAUAUCGGGAAGAAUACCGGUGGCGAAGGCGUUCCGCUGGGCCGUUGCUGACGCUGAGGCGCGACAGCGUGGGGAGCAAACAGG